UACGGAGGGGGCUAGCGUUGUUCGGAAUUACUGGGCGUAAAGCGCACGUAGGCGGCUUUGUAAGUUAGAGGUGAAAGCCCAGGGCUUAACCCUGGAAUUGCCUUUAAGACUGCAUCGCUAGAAUUGUGGAGAGGUAAGUGGAAUUCCGAGUGUAGAGGUGAAAUUCGUAGAUAUUCGGAAGAACACCAGUGGCGAAGGCGGCUCACUGGCCCGGUACGUGACGCUGAGGUGCGAAAGCGUGGGGAGCAAAGCAGG
rnacentral:rRNA from 1 species